AGCGCAGGCGGGAAGUUAAGCGGACUUUAAAAGUGCGGGGCUCAACCCCGUGAGGGGGUCCGAACUGACUUUCUUGAGUGCAGGAGAGGGAAGCGGAAUUCCUAGUGUAGCGGUGAAAUGCGUAGAUAUUAGGAAGAACACCAGUGGCGAAGGCGGCUUUCUGGACUGUAACUGACGCUGAGGCUCGAAAGCUAGGGUAGCGAACG
rnacentral:rRNA from 1 species